AGAAAGAUAAGCUAAUUUUAAGCUAAUGGGUUCAUACCCCAUUUAUAGAGGUCUAACCCUCUUCUUUUUA
rnacentral:tRNA from 1 species